ensembl:lncRNA
CUGUGUGACCUGAGCUGCAGUCUCUUCGCUGAGAUGCAGAUUUUAAAUGAGACUGGGGGCUGAGGGCAGGCCUCAGGCCUCCCAGCGCCCCAACCCCUCCUUGGUCUGAUUAAAUGCAGUUCUUAGUGCAGAGACGUUUUAAGGUGCAAUAUAUCUCUUCCUUUCACGUGGUUUUAGAGCCAAGCUCAAGGUAGUAGGACGUAGGGUCUUAUUUUGUUUUCAAACCCCCAUCUUCAGAGCGUAGAUACAUGCAGAGGCUUCUGCCAGGAUACCACGGGGCCUUGGUGGGAACAGGUGGAGACCAGCGCUUGCCUUUUCUGCUGCUGAGUGGGGGGUCAGAACCCACUCACUUUUGCCUGCUCAAGUUGCCCUCUUCCCGAUGCUGGCAGCUCUGCCUUUGCCAUCGGGGGUGCGGCCCAUUGCUCAGCAACCAGUGGCCUUGCGGUGGUAUUUGUCCACUGUCCGCUAGAGUGGGAUGAAGUCCAGAGUGUGGGUGUGCAUCUGAAAUGCUCAUCCACCCACUGGGGACUUCAAUGCUAGCUGCAUUCGGUUUGGUUUUCUUCACUGUUGGCUUCUCCCCCCAGUUUUUUUUUUUUUAAACAUUUGUAUUGUUUUCAAACUUGGAAUUCAUAGACACUCUGGCUCUAGGUUCCUUAAGGGGGAAACAAAGGAUGACUUUAUUUCACAUUCAAGAAAAUCAGUUCAGUUCCAAAGCUGUGGUCCUUCCAGCCACUUCUAGGGACACUGGGGUACCUUGUUAAACAUUCACAUCAGUGCUCUCCAGCCGAGCUGUCGCCCUCCUAUCUUAAUGGAUCUGCCUUCCGGAUGGUCAGUGACGCCUUCUGGAAGCUGAGCGCACACAGGUGCACGGCCGUGCUGUGGCCUGGCCUGCUGCGGCAGCAUGGCAGCUCUGGUGGAGCCUGCUCCCUUGCCAUUUGGUUCCCCUCUGCCAAGUAACUGCAGGCUGCCCCUCAAAUCUUCAUUUGUCCCUUUUCACUUCCUGCAGAGCAAGCCUAGGUUAGAGGGUCUGCUGGAAAUGGCCUUUGAAGACCAAGGAUACCAGAGUGUGUGUGCUCUGUCAUAUUCUGUGAUGAAUGGGAAACAGGCUUCCAGAAAGCCAGCUCUCUUCUGAAAUGUGACGGACCUAAGCAGGAAGUCAUCCAGGACAGGAGUGGCUUGGUGUUGGAGAUGGACGCUGUUGCCCUGCCAUGCUCCACCAGGGCCACCAGUGUAUAUCUGGCUGGUGGUCUUCGGGCACGUGAGACCUGCUCUUCACUGUCUCUACCCCAGUUGGCCUCCAGGAUGGUAGUGGCACCCCCAGAGCCCCCAUCUUCAGCAUGUUCCGGAGCCUCGGAGUGGAAAUUCCUGCUAAGGCUCUGUGUGGACGCCUUUCUCCCAUGAUCUAAAGGGGACACUGUACUCUUAAGCUUUUGACCUCAUGCCUUGUGUAGUAAAAAAAGGAUUUGGGGGUUUUUGUUUGGUUCCUGAGAGGGCUGUGUUUUUUGUUUUGUUUCCUUUUGUUUAUGUUUUGGCCUUUCCUCUUUGUCUUUCCAUGUAGACCAGAUAUUUGAAAGGGCAGACGAUGGCUAGAGGUGUAAGUGCAGCUUGUUUAGACGUUAUUUCGGGAAACUUACCUUGGAUGGGAAAUGGAAUCGUGGAUUCACCAGGCCGGUGCUGGCACACUCAAACCCUCGCCCUUUCCCUCCGGUUCAGUACCUAUUGUUUCUCCUUUCAAAUAUGUGAUUGUACUAGCUCUUUCCAUAUGAAAGAAUUCUCCUUAUUUAAAUAAAAAAAGUUAAAAAAG